rnacentral:tRNA from 1 species
UAGAACAUGGUGUAUCUGGGUAGCACGGAGAUUUUUGAAUUCUUAGGAUUAGGUUCGACUCCUAUUGUUCUAG